AGGACGAACGCUGGCGGCGUGCUUAACACAUGCAAGUCGAGCGGAAAGGCCCUUCGGGGUACUCGAGCGGCGAACGGGUGAGUAACACGUGAGUAAUCUGCCCCUAGCUCUGGGAUAGCUCCGGGAAACCGGGAUUAAUACCAGAUACGACCACUUUAGACAUCUGCUGUGGUGGAAAGAAUUUCGGCUAGGGAUGAGCUCGCGGCCUAUCAGCUUGUUGGUGAGGUACGGCUCACCAAGGCGACGACGGGUA
rnacentral:rRNA from 1 species